GCAGACUGCAGCAUUUUCAGGGCAUCUCCCCAAGAUCUCCAAUAAGGACAACUAGCAUCGACUAGUCUAACCCCGCGACGGCCUGUUCUGUGAGGACAUCAUCACCCUGGUGCUUCCCUCUCCCCCAUUCUCUAGAGGAAGGAGCCCCAAAAGAACAGAUAAACUCUGCCUCCUAGAAAGGGAAGUCUCUCACCAUCAGCACUGUGGACGUCGGGACUGGAUCCAUCUCUGGGGUGAGGCCUUCCUGGGCACUGCAGGGUGCUGAGCAGAGUCCCUGGCCUCCACCCACUCCCUGCCAGGAGCACCCCUUAGUUACACUGAGCUAUGAUCGCACCACUGCGAUCCCACCUGGGCAACAGAGUGAGACUCUGACUCUAAAAUAAUAAUAAUAACAAGAAUAUAAGAAUAAUAAUUCAGAUCCAUGUCCGGUAAAAAUAAUAAAUAAGUAAAGCUGA
rnacentral:antisense_RNA from 1 species